rnacentral:rRNA from 1 species
UGAGGAAUAUUGCGCAAUGGCCGAAAGGCUGACGCAGCGACGCCGCGUGGGGGAUGACGGCCUUCGGGUUGUAAACCCUUGUCAGUGGGGAAGAAAAAAAUGACUGUACCCACAGAGGAAGCCCCGGCUAACUACGUGCCAGCAGCUGCGGUAAUACGUAGGGGGCGAGCGUUAUUCGGAAUUACUGGGUGUAAAGGGUAUGUAGGCGGCUCUUUAAGUCAGAUGUGAAAUCCUGCAGCUCAACUGCAGAACUGCAUUUGAUACUGGAGGGCUUGAGUGUGGGAGAGGAAAGUGGAAUUCCAGGUGUAGCGGUGAAAUGCGUAGAUAUCUGGAGGAACACCCGUGGCGAAGGCGGCUUUCUGGCCCACCACUGACGCUGAGAUGCGAAAGCUAGGGGAGCGAACG